rnacentral:pre_miRNA from 1 species
UUUUUAUUAUAAGUAAGCCCCAGGCAAUAUUUGUGAUAUGCUUAUACUAAGA